UACGUAGGGGGCGAGCGUUGUCCGGAAUUACUGGGCGUAAAGAGCUCGUAGGUGGUUUGGCGCGUUGUUCGUGAAAUCUCACGGCUUAACUGUGAGCGUGCGGGCGAUACGGGCAGACUUGAGUACUGCAGGGGAGACUGGAAUUCCUGGUGUAGCGGUGGAAUGCGCAGAUAUCAGGAGGAACACCGGUGGCGAAGGCGGGCCUCUGGGCCGUAACUGACGCUGAGGAGCGAAAGCAUGGGUAGCGAACAGG
rnacentral:rRNA from 1 species